UAGGGAAUCUUCGGCAAUGGGGGGAACCCUGACCGAGCAACGCCGCGUGAGUGAAGAAGGUUUUCGGAUCGUAAAGCUCUGUUGUUAAGGAAGAACGAGUGUGAGAAUGGAAAGUUCAUACUGUGACGGUACUUAACCAGAAAGGGACGGCUAACUACGUGCCAGCAGCCGCGGUAAUACGUAGGUCCCGAGCGUGGUCCGGAUUUAUUGGGCGUAAAGCGAGCGCAGGCGGUUAGAUAAGUCUGAAGUUAAAGGCAGUGGCUCAACCAUUGUAGGCUUUGGAAACUGUUUAACUUGAGUGCAGAAGGGGAGAGUGGAAUUCCAUGUGUAGCGGUGAAAUGCGUAGAUAUAUGGAGGAACACCGGUGGCGAAAGCGGCUCUCUGGUCUGUAACUGACGCUGAGGCUCGAAAGCGUGGGGAGCGAACAGG
rnacentral:rRNA from 1 species